rnacentral:lncRNA from 1 species
GGGCUCUGGAGACAAGGGAGUAGGCGGUGGUGCGCCAGGGGCGGGCUCCCCCAGCCUGGCCACCAAUCCAGGGUCCCGCCGGGGAUGCGAGGGGCGGGGCUGACGUGGGGCGCCAAGGCUUAAACGUGACGGGCAGGAGGGCGUAAGGAGGAGUCCGGAGCAGGGAGCGGAGAGUGACAGGCGACGCUGUCCAAUAACAGGAGGGGUUGGGCUGCUUGAGCCAAUAGAAAGUCCGUAAGGCGGGACGAGGACUGCAGCAAGUUCGGUUGCGCGGAGACCGCAGCUGUUCCCUGUCAGUGGAGGCAGCGGCUGUAGAGGCGGUGGCGACGACUUGCGGCGGCAGCGAGGAGGUAGCACCUGCCUUCCGAGAGCUGACAGAACGCUGAGGGCCGUCCAAGGUCUACUUCUGAGUUGGAGAUUGGCUCACAAGCAGCCUCUCUCCGGUGAGCUGUAGGGAGGGGGCAGUUCUGGAGAGUCAUUGACAGAGGCUUA